GCUUAUAGGUCUGUGAGGGUGAGAGCGGCGUUUAUUGCCGCCUGUGUGCUGUGUACUGUGGCAGGGCUCCUCUCUAACAGCAGCUCAGCGCAGAGGCCGCAGCAGCAGGGCUCCUCCUGCCGCCGCUGAAUGGAUUACCUACUUAUUCACCUUCCCCGAGUGGCUCUGCGUGGACACCUCCUCGUCUCGUCGCCUUUCUGUGAUUUCUAUGCUCGCCGGGACUGCGACCACUGAUCAUGCACUGAUUUGCGAGCAGCUCUGACUUCGGAGUCGCCUCGCUGCUGCUGGUGCUGCUGGGUGGACGCACAGCUGAUCAUCCGGAGAGGGGCUAUCUGCAACAAAUUGUUGCAAACAUUGUGAGGGGCGAAGUCAUGGUGCCAGCACCGCCUCGGCUUUCCAUGGCACUGUGAGAACUUUCUUUUCAUACACCCCUUGCCCCUCUUUCUUCUUCCCCCUUGCCUCUCUUUUGUUUUAAAUGUUUGGCUGCAGGAUCGUGCUUCCUCGGGAAAUUAUCCACGUUUCCCUUUUCAAUUAUGUUCACGUUUGCUGCCUUCUGCUACAUGCUGUCUCUGGUCCUCUGUGUGUCCCUGAUUUUCUUCGCAAUAUGGCAUAUAACAGCUUUUGAUGAGCUUCAGGCAGAUUUCAAGGUGCCAAUCGAUCAGGGCAACCCACUCCAUGCGAGGGAGAGACUGCGAAACAUCGAGAGGAUCUGCAACCUGCUGAGGAAGCUGGUGCUGCCAGAGUACUCCAUCCAUGUGUUGUUCUGCAUCAUGUUCCUGUGUGCUCAGGAGUGGCUGACUGUGGGCCUCAACAUUCCCCUGCUCUUCUACAACACGUGGAGGUACUUCCAUUCCCCAACGGACACUAAGGAGCUGCUGUACGACCCAGCGUCCGUGAUGAAUGGCGACACACUCAAGUUCUGCCUGAAGGAGGCCUGGUGCAAGCUGUCCUUCUUCGUCCUUUCCUUCUUCUACUAUCUCUACUGUGUGUGGAACCUGGAAAUAUCCCUCUAAUAGGUCUUAUCAGUGGAAACACUUAAAGCUCAUAUUGGACUGAUCUGCAGCAGCAGCAGGUAUUCUACAAUACAAGUAUGAUCUACUCCUUGGUUACCUCAUAACAACUGAUUAUCAACAACUGGGGAGAAACAGGAACACCUUUCGAGGCAUUUGAUACGACGGGACUAAAGAACACUAAAAGACAAUACAUUUCAAAGUAGAAUAACAAAAACCUUCUUUCUUUUUUUCUUGUUGCUGUGAAGCCAAACAUCGAACAUACAUGGGGUUGAAGCUUGUUUUCUGCUUCAUACCCAAAAGAAGAAAGGACAUGCUUUAUCCUCAACUGUAUAUAAAAAUUGAAAACUAAAUCUACUGUUUACAGUUUGACUCCUCAUAGCGAGACCCAAGUUAAUCACUGCCUGGCCAACGUUUGUACCACACACACAAAUACAAACAUACACAGACACACAAACAGCCACAGCCUCCUCUGGAGUGCUACUGUACUUGCUGUACGGUAACGGCGAUGGUAGCCCAGAGGACGAAGAGCACAGUAUUGCACAGUUUGUCUCAGGCACAGCACGGUGAAGCACUGUCAGGCCCAGCACAACUCACCGAACCCUCAGUCACUCCUCUUCGAUGCCUCACCAACUGUAGCUUCGCCGGUGAGCUCAGAACGAGGGAUAGAUGAACGGAUCACACUGUAUAGAAAAGAGAAAUGAGUCAUUGCAGGUGGGGUUUUGGGGGAGUUGAGCAGGAACACACGCGGUCCGUACGUAGCCUGUGGGAUUUUCUUUCAAACAUACGUGAAUGGCUUUUGUGAUGUGUGCAUUUUGGUGUAUUCUUUAAACAAAGGCAUUUCAAAUUGAUCUUCAGCAAACGUAUUCUCUUUACAGCAAUGCCUUCUUAGUGUCGUCCUAGUGUUGUUCUAUUGUGUAAACUUUUCGAAAACUCAAGCUAACAACUGAAACUUGGUGAAGCUUUGAUAGGAGCACACAUUCUUUGCACAAUUAGUGUCUUUAAUCUUGCACAAUGUGCUCAAUAUUUGGCUAUAUUAGAGAACAUUUAUAAUGGUCUGUCCACACAGGUGACGGUCUUCCAACAUGUAAAGAACCUUUCAGCCCUAUUUGAAGAUAGGGAAACAAUGUGAAUCUUUUCUAGCUCUCUUUACACCUUGGACCAAAAUAUUGUCUUUUUUCCACUAUUUGGAUUUAUUUAUUUUGUGACUGCUCAUUUCCAUGCUUUAUUUUAAACAUCAAUUUCCAAUGUAACUAAUGCCAGGAGCAAACAAAGCAGAAGAUGGGAAAGGUGCCUGGUAUUAAUUGGGUUUUUCUCUCUGGUUCGAAUGAAAGCAACUGUAGCAAAUGAUGUUGGCAAGAGGUUGUGAAGAGGCUGUCAUGAAUCACCAGAAUUAAUUCAGCAGGGCAGGUGGUUGAACCUGCAUCAUCAAUGUGUAGCACAGUUUUCUAACUAUUAAGAAACUCGUUAAACCUUCCCCACCAUCUUUGCUUGAUGAGCUUCACUUUGUAAAGCGGCAGCAGCAAAGAGCAGAUAGGAAUGCCCCGUUCUUGUUGUUUUCUCUUCUUCUAAGUCAAGCGUUUUCUAACGUAACCUGUAUGUAUGUGACCAACAAAGUUGAAUUUAGAUAUUGUUUAUG